rnacentral:rRNA from 1 species
AGCGAACGCUGGCGGCAGGCCUAACACAUGCAAGUCGAACGAAGUCUUCGGAGUUAGUGGCGGACGGGUGAGUAACACGUGGGAACGUGCCUUUAGGUUCGGAAUAACUCAGGGAAACUUGUGCUAAUACCGAAUGUGCCCUUCGGGGGAAAGAUUUAUCGCCUUUAGAGCGGCCCGCGUCUGAUUAGCUAGUUGGUAGUGUAAUGGACUACCAAGGCUACGAUCAGUAGCUGGUCUGAGAGGAUGAUCAGCCACAUUGGAACUGAGACACGGCCCAAACUCCUACGGGAGGCAGCAGUGGGGAAUCUUGCGCAAUGGGCGAAAGCCUGACGCAGCCAUGCCGCGUGAAUGAUGAAGGUCUUAGGAUUGUAAAAUUCUUUCACCGGGGACGAUAAUGACGGUACCCGGAGAAGAAGCCCCGGCUAACUUCGUGCCAGCCGCCGCAGUAAGAC